rnacentral:misc_RNA from 1 species
UGGUUCUGGCAUCGAUGAAGAACGCAGCGAAAUGCGAUAAGUAAUGUGAAUUGCAGAAUUCAGUGAAUCAUCGAAUCUUUGAACGCACAUUGCGCCCUUUGGUAUUCCGAGGGGCAUGCCUGUUCGAGCGUCAUUUCAAACCAUCAAGCCCUCGGCUUGGCCUUGGGCCUUAGGACGCCCCUGCUGCGGGCGUCGGCCCCGAAUCCUACUCGGCGGCGGUGCCGUGCCACGGGCGUAGCGAGAACCUCAAGUUCCACGCCCCGGCGCGCGGAGGCCGCCCGCCACAAGAAACCCACAUCCAAAGGUUGACCUCGGAUCAGGCAGGGAUACCCGCUGA